CAAACCGUAGUUUAGUAAAAAUCUUAACAUUGGAAGUUAAAGAUUGGGUGAUACCCACGUUUUGA
rnacentral:tRNA from 1 species